GGUUUUAAUUUAAUUCUUAGGUUACAAUAUAAAAUAAGUUGCCUGAGUUUGCCAAGGAUAACACGAUCACAGAUUUUCUCUUUCUUGGAGUGCGAGCUGUUGAAACUUUCAGUCUGAUCUGGUCUCUUCUGGGCUAUAGCGCCCUGUGGCCAUUGACAUCGAUGAUCGUCAGUGCCCCAUGGACCGCUCUCAAUCGCACAACACUCCCCCAGUCAAUGAUGAAGAAGAUGAAUGGGACACUGAUGGAUU
rnacentral:misc_RNA from 1 species